rnacentral:tRNA from 1 species
GGAAGUGUGGCUGAGUGGUUGAAGGCACUGCUUUCGAAAAGCAGCAUGCGGGAAACCGUAUCAGGGGUUCAAAUCCUCUCACUUCCG